rnacentral:tRNA from 1 species
GGUCGAUUAGCUCAGUUGGUUAGAGCGUACGAUUCACAUUCGUAAGGUCGAAGGUUCGACUCCUUCAUCGACCA